rnacentral:lncRNA from 1 species
UUCUGCUCCGUUGGCCUGGAGUCGCUCAGAAAGGGACCCCUAUUCAUGGGUCCGAUAUUAGCUCCGGCCACCCUUUCCAAAACUCUUAACAUGGCCUGGGACAAAGCGUCAUCCCUCGCGGCCCGAUCAUACGGCCCAUUCUCAUCCACCGGUGGUGGUCGUGCUACUCCAGCGGGUAUGUGUUCAGAAGACGAAGAUCCAGCUUGAGUACUACCUCGGCC